rnacentral:rRNA from 1 species
UCCUAGCUGUAAACGAUGCGGGCCAGGUGUUGGCAUUACUGCGAGUGAUGCCAGCGCCGAAGGGAAGCCGUUAAGCCCGCCAUCUGGGGAGUACGGUCGCAAGGCUGAAACUUAAAGGAAUUGGCGGGGGAGCACCACAAGGCGUGAAGCUUGCGGUUCAAUUGGAGUCAACGCCGGGAACCUUACCGGGGGCGACAGCAGGAUGAAUGCCAGAUUGAAGGUCUUGCUGGACAA